rnacentral:rRNA from 1 species
GCAGAGCACUCCUCGGGAGGCAGCAGUGGGGAAUAUUGCACAAUGGGCGCAAGCCUGAUGCAGCCAUGCCGCGUGUAUGAAGAAGGCCUUCGGGUGUAAAGUACUUUCAGCAGUGAGGAAGGUGGGUAUGUUAAUAGCAUAUUCAUUUGACGUUAGCUGCAGAAGAAGCACCGGCUAACUCCGUGCCAGCAGCCGCGGUAAUACGGGAGGGUGCGAGCGUUAAUCGGAAUUACUGGGCGUAAAGCGCAUGCAGGUGGUUUGUUAAGUCAGAUGUGAAAGCCCGGGGCUCAACCUCGGAAUUGCAUUUGAAACUGGCAAACUAGAGUACUGUAGAGGGGGUAGAAUUUCAGGUGUAGCGGUGAAAUGCGUAGAGAUCUGAAGGAAUACCGGUGGCGAAGGCGGCCCCCUGGACAGAUACUGACACUCAGAUGCGAAAGCGUGGGGAGCAAACAGGAUUAGAUACCCUGGUAG